rnacentral:rRNA from 1 species
CGGCAGGCCUAACACAUGCAAGUCGAGCGGUAGAUGCUUUCGGGCAUUGAGAGCGGCGGACGGGUGAGUAACGCGUGGGAAUCUGGCUCUUAGAGGGGGACAACUUGUGGAAACGCAAGCUAAUACCGCAUACGCCCUAAGGGGGAAAGCAGGGGAUCUUCGGACCUUGCGCUAAGAGAUGAGCCCGCGUCGGAUUAGCUAGUUGGUGGGUAAAGGCCUACCAAGGCGACGAUCCGUAACUGGUCUGAGAGGAUGAUCAGUCACACUGGAACUGAGACACGGUCCAGACUCCUACGGGAGGCAGCAGUGGGGAAUAUUGGACAAUGGGGGCAACCCUGAUCCAGCCAUGCCGCGUGUGUGAAGAAGGCCUUCGGGUUGUAAAGCACUUUAAGUUGGGAGGAAAGGGUGCUGGCUAAUAUCCAGUAUCUAUGACGUUACCAACAGAAUAAGCACCGGCUAACUCCGUGCCAGCAGCCGCGGUAAUACGGAGGGUGCAAGCGUUAAUCGGAAUUACUGGGC